AUGAAAGCCUCACUAAAAUGUGUAACACAUGGAUGGCUCGCUAUAUCGUGGUAGGGGCAGAUCUCGCACAACCCACAGGUGUUUACAAUGAACUACCUGUGAUACUGAAAAUAUUUCAUUUUAUGGUUUAUACAUACAUCAGUGGUGACGCUCUAAAGUUGGAAUGGCUGGAAAAGCGUGGGGGUGCACCCCGUGACCAGCUCGCCGCUGGUUUUCUGCGGCGAUUCGAUGCAGGUGAAAUGGCACCCGGAAGAAAAAAGUGAAAUGCCAUAAACGGAAGUUGCAAUGCUUCUCAAAGAACAAAAUAGUCCAAAGCACUGAUCUCUAUGUAGAAGACCUUCUCACUCUGUCUCGCAGCUGUGAUUGGCCAAGCACCACUCAGUCACAUGACCAGUUCCAUUUUGUUUUAUCUGGCGGAGAUUUGCGGGUGAUGGAGUAAUUUCAGAAAAAGGAAGUUAAAAUGUGAUAAAUCUUGCUCGUAAUUCAGUAAAUUGAAUUCAUAAUUCUCUCUCUCUCUCUCUCUCUCUCUCUCGGCACAGACCAAUUUGAGUGAAUAAAAAUAUUUCUGUUAAAUUACAUUUGUUUCAAGUUUGUACAACAUUGUUCAGACAUUUCAUUACAUUUUGUUAAUCGUUAUGAGACGAAGAGUAAUGCGUACUCCUCCCAACGCCCUCCGACAUGUACGUACAAUGCGCACAAAAAUUAGCGGGUCACUUUGUAAUCGCUCCAAAAAACGUCCAGUUUCUAUACCUUAUAACUGCUCGAAAAAUUUGGGUAGAGAUAUGGAAAAAAAGCAUUCCGAAGCUCGAAACAACGCUUGAAGCUUCACCCUGCGGAUGCUUUCAUUCGAUUUGGAUUGCGUUUUUUGUUUAGUUACAAUUAGUUAUACUCUCCUGAUUGAACUCACGUCGAAAACGCAUAGUAAACUUUUGACUUUAAGGAGGCGGCGCACCGAAUGUCUCAGUCAUAGAAUUAAAAAUUUUUUUAUGCCAUUUCAAAGGUUAACGUUUCUUCUUUAAAACGCGUUUUUAGAUUGUUCGUACGAUUUUUUUUGCAUGAAUUAUAUACGACGCUAAAGCAAUUAUAUAUUGUCCAUAAACCUUUGUUAUUAUACAGUUAUUACAUCGCGGUUUUUCCAAAACGAUUUUGAAGUUAAAAACUUCAACUUUACAAAACUCUAUUACAGUAUUCCCUUAUUUGAAUUGUCGAAGCUCGGUUACCUUUCGAACGCACCCCUUUGCACCUCAGUGCGGAAACUUGAACUUUGACCCCUAGUGGGUCACGUAAAAAAUGGCGAAAGAGAUGGCCCGUGGACACCAAGUUCAACCUCGACAAGUGUCCCCUACAAAAUCCGUACUUGAGAUAUUUUUUUUAUCGCUUUCGUUGGUUUCAAUGAGAGCACGUGAUCUAACAGGUUGAUUCCCCGGUCCGCAAUGCCCAUACGCUGUACUACCGGUGGUAAUUACUGAUGGGCCGGAAAGUCGGCGUACCAUCCGAAGGCGCCAUUUUCUCCUGUGUGCCCUCCGAAAUCCACGAAAUCCAU